CUACAUAGACCCCCAUUUCUGCUCUCCCUCAACCUAACUGUUACCUUCGAUAAAUGCCCCUAACUCUUUACUUACCUCUCUUUGCAGAUUCAGCACAGUGGAGCUCACCUGAGCCAUCUUCUUUGGGAAAUAAGUGCCGUAUAGGCCCAUGUGCAGUUUGAGCAGUCUUCCGUUUUUUCCGCAUGUGCCGAAAUUGAUGGAAAUUGCCGAAGCGCCAGAAGAAGAUGAGCUCCGCUGCACUGAAUCUGCAAAGAGAGAUUCGCUGCACAGGUAAGGGACCAGAUUUCCAGAAUUCUCAGGGGUACAUAUCCCAUACCUGUACGACAUGUAACACAAUUGUGCCUUUCAGACUCAAGAAUGACACUGGAUUUUUCACUUGGGCACCUGGACAAGAAAGCUGCUUAUAACAUCUGACAGGAUCAAUCUAAAGAACCUGUGAUAGAAAAUCUGAAACCUCAGGUAAAGUAACAUUUUUUUUAACACAAAUAUUAUUAAUAUAUAACAUUUUUAACACAGUUACUUUGCCUUGGGUUUAGUUAACAUAAGCAAUAAUAUUUUCUCUCUCUUAUCUAGAAUCAGAAAUUAGACAUUGUCCAGGAUAAUACAUCAGAAGAAAGCUAUAGCAGCUCCAGUAGUGAGGAUUUGUUUCCAUAGA